UGCUGGUGAGAGGUAACACAUUGUGUUUACAUACAUGCUGGUGAGAGGUAACACAUUGUGUUUACAUACAUGCUGCGUGAGAGGUAACACAUUGUUGUUUACAUACACGCUGGUGAGAGGUGACACAUUGUGUUUACAUACAUGCUGGUGAGAGGUAACACAUUGUGUUUACAUACAUGCUGGUGAGAGGUGAAUGUAAUAGGAAGUGCAUGAUAGCAGAAAUAAGAGUGUAAACCCCUCUUGGAUACAACUUGUGAUAACGUUGGCAGUAGACCUGCGCAUAACAAGGUAGGUCAGUUUUGAUUGUGUAAUGCGUGACACUAUUACCCAGUCUUAAAACGUUCCUCUCAUUUGUUUUUGAUGUUUGAACGUGUUUUACAGUUAGUGGGUAGAAAUGUCUUUGGGAAGUGAAUUCUGCAAAUAGAU